rnacentral:rRNA from 1 species
UACGUAGGCAGCGAGCGUUGUUCGGAGUUACUGGGCGUAAAGGGUGUGUAGGCGGUUGUUUAAGUUUGGUGUGAAAUCUCCCGCUCAACUGGGAGGGUGCGCCGAAUACUGAGCGACUAGAGUGCGGGAGAGGAAAGUGGAAUUCCUGGUGUAGCGGUGAAAUGCGUAGAUAUCAGGAGGAACACCGGUGGUGUAGACGGCUUUCUGGACCGUAAACUGACGCUGAGACACGAAAGCGUGGGUAGC